GGGAAAGGCCCGGUUGGCCCAAGAUGGCGGCCCACCCCUUCCCCCACCAGGCCUGGCUCCCGCCCCCGACCCUUCCUCUGCCCCCUCCCAUCUUUACACUGCAUUUACAUACCCAGGUACCUGCAGGCCCAAGCUCCCUUCCCACAAUCCAUCCCUUAAUUUUUAUUAUACACAUACUCUUCAGCUCAGGAAGCACAUUUAAGUUUUGGCAGAUGAACAGAUACAUCACGGCUGUCCUGAUACCAACAAAGGUGGCCCAGGCGGUUGGGGGCCAGGGGAACACCCGGGCCUAGAGGCAGGAAGGCCCUACUCCAAAGGGAGGCUCAGCCGGGAGACCCUGGGCCUGUCACCGGCCCUGCUUCCGGUUCCUUAACCGAAAUGGAACCAGGAACAGCUCCCACCUCAAAGCCAGGCCAGGAAUCCCCCCCACAGCAGGCAAACAGUCCAUUUCAGAAGCGCUCUCGUCCAAAGGGCUGACACAGCCAGAGCCGGGCGGGCCCUCGGUGAGCUGCAAAAUCCCUCGUUCGGGACACCCGGGGACACUCAGCACUUACUGCAAGAACGCCUACCUGAGCAUCAGCUGAGUGUGAGAGGAGAGAAGGCUCUUUAUCUUCAGAAGGACAUUGAGACUACACCAAAAGUUGGCCACUUUAUCCUUAAAAGAGAAUGGCUCGUUUUAGAUUUUUGUUAUGUGAACAUAUUGUUAUUAUUUUAGAAAUAACUUCCAAAAUUUAAGAAAAGCCCACCUUUCCAUAUAUUCUACCCUGAGGUAAGGGAGAGCAGAUAACGUCCAGGCUUUUGAGGUACGGUUUUUAAUGAGAGUUUAGGAAAGAGGUGCCCAAAAUAGCCAAGAGUUCCUUCCUUUGCCUCCCAAAGCUGUUGAUGGCAGCAAAAAUUUUUAAAAUAUAAUCCUCUAAAUCACAAAGGCUAUUUUCCCCACAUGCUAUUAUUACGUACCUGAAUUGACUGAAAAUAGCCUAACUUGCUGCUAGCAAUGACAGAGUUAACCACUAAUAAAUCAAGAAGUUUAAGGACAUUAGCAGUUGUGCUAGGAUCACUUUCAAAAUUAAAUCUGUAACCCAGCUCUCAUGCGCCUGAAACCCACCCUCUCCACAGCUGCUUCAGUCACAGCUGUGAAGGCCUAAGAGCGAGAAGGCAGUAAGCCGUCCUCCCACCAUCCUGUGCGAGCAGCAAGGAGAUGGUCCUGCUGCUGACCGGGAUUAGAAGGGAACGGGGGAGCCUGGCAGCGCCGGCCAGCAAACACUUAAGAUGCCAGCGAGAAAUGUUCUAACCAUCAGCAUUUGUUGCCAUUUCUGAAAUGGAAGCUGAGUCAGACGACGUGCGAGAGCCACACAAUCCUCCCCUGGCCGGGCUCUGCUGACAAGAGUUCUUCUGAUUUAUUUCAAUGAAGGGCCAAGGAAAUAAAUUUCCUGCUCACAUAAAACUUAUCUGAGUCAAUUAUGGGUAAAAAUAACAUAUAAACACAUGUGUCCAUAGGAACUCCCACCUUCUUGGGUUCCUCAUAAACCCUGGGCAGAUAUAUGUAAAAAUUAUUUUAAAAUAUGAUAGAGAUUUUUAUUUUUCUAAAAAGUCAAACUAAGGAAGCUGGAUCUUUAACUAGAAUUCCUUUAAAACUUCUCUUUUCCGCAACAAAACGGGCCAGAUUUUCAGGGUCAGCGCCCUGAAGGACGUGUCGUCUCUGGCUGGCUUCUGUCUAGUGCUCCUUGAGAGAUCGAAUCUCCACAUGCUGGCUGGGGUUCAGUUUAGUUAAAAGCCUCUGGACUGGGGAUAAUCUAAUGGCUGAGUUGAACACACCUAUUUUUAUAAUACAUCAAGAAGACUGAUAAAAUUGGGGUAGGAUUCAAAAUUUUCAGUUAAAAAUGAGCGCCAAUAAAACUGUCCUGAUUG